rnacentral:rRNA from 1 species
UACGUAGGGCGCAAGCGUUGUCCGGAAUUAUUGGGCGUAAAGAGCUCGUAGGCGGCCUGUUGCGUCCGCUGUGAAAUCCCGGGGCUCAACCCCGGGCGUGCAGUGGAUACGGGCUGGCUGGAGGCAGGCAGGGGAGAACGGAAUUCCUGGUGUAGCGGUGAAAUGCGCAGAUAUCGGGAAGAACACCCGUGGCGAAGGCGGCACUCUGGGACGGUACUGACGCUGAGACGCGAAAGCGUGGGGAGCGAACAGG